UCAGCACUCACAUAUUGGGCCUCCAAAAGCACUGAUUGUUUAACGUAAUUCAAGUCUAUGUGCAUGGAGAAGUACACGGAACGUGUGCACCUACUAGUGCCACUCUCGAUACUUCUUCUCGUUUGCUUCGUUGCUCAUGUUCAAUGUGGGAGUAUCGAAGACAUAGGUAACAGGAAGAUCAGUCUACCAUAUGGACUGUGUGGACCACCUAGAAUAAUUCCAAAAUGCAAUGAUGGCUAUUGUUGGUGUUGUUUUGCGGAUCCCAAAUACUUUUGCUAUCGCACGCCUGAAGAUUGUGAUAAGGAAUGCCGCAAACAUUCUUCACUAAACACUGUGGCGGCAGCGCCCGCCACCUCCACCCUCCCACCAAACUGAAAUAUUUGUUCACUAAAAAUAAAAAAGAGUAGCGUAUAUCUUGUUCUUUACAGUUGGAGUUACAUGUUGAGACUCUCAUAUUAAUCAGAAAACAAAACUAUAUAGUCAUUAAUCUUAAGGGCGCCGCUGUAACCUAUGUUCAAGAUAUGAAUGAACUACUUCUCAUGAGGAUUAUUAGCAUGUCAA